GAGGUCGCGUCCUUGCCGAUGGGGUCGUCGUUGCGGUCCCGGGCGUUGAGGAUUUUUUUCGAGGGCUCGUGCGGCCGUGGGGUGGUUGGGGGUUUGGGGGGUGAGGAGUUGAAUCUACCACCGAUGAUAUUGCUCGCGGGGUGACAAGUUGGUGGGAUGGCGCUUGAUGUGUUUGGAUGAAACGAGUCGUGGGGUCCGCGUGAAGUGAUUGUGUGGUGGUGGCUGUGGUGGGCUUUGGGGUGGGGUGGGGGGGGUUAAGCCACGGUAACUUGGGGGUCAUUGCGAGCCCUGAUGCCUAAAACGUCGUAUGAAGGUGAAUGGGUUUGGGGCCAAGCCCACGGAUCUAUACUUUCGGGGGAAAGAUGUGUUCCAAACAACGUGGACGCUUGCGAUCAGCUUACCGCAAGGAGAUACUACUGGCAAUCCCAUGAUGAAUACUUUGAGGGCGCAGUCAAGGUUAUUGUGAACAAGUGCUAACGGCUGUGACUUCUUUGUCCGCGCGAUUACUUUCAUUUUUACAUCUUCGAUAAAUGUCGUGGAAAAACUAUUGAAAGGGGAAACGUAUCACGCCAGCAGCCCGGGGUUCGUGCAAGGGACAGCAGCUGUAGCAGCAGCAGCAGCCGAUAAGUGCCGAUCACGACACAGAGACUUGGAAUACCCGCGACCUCGUCAGUUUUCAGUAGCCUCAACAGGGUUGAGCCCAAACAGUGCACGCACAGGUUAUCCCAGGGCCCUGGGGCUCUGCGCUGGUCUGUAGGUGGCAAUGCAGCAACAUCCAUUGGCGUGUAUUUGGUCUGCACUUGUAAGCUUGCCAUGGCUAUCGCUCACCACAUUCGCCAACCACGCGCUGGCCAGCGUGGCGAAAUGCGGUCAAAUAACCACCGUGGCACAACGCGGUGUGGGAGGGGGCUCAAGAGGGCCGUUACAUAUGUACCUGUCUACGUAGCCUGCAGUUGUAGUGCUGCGAUAACUAAAGUCAGAUUAGCCUGAGAUGAAUACAACAUAAUAAUUAAUUAUAAUCAGACAAGCGAUCCAGAAAUCCGACGAGAUUACGUUUACUUCACUUAAUGCCUAAGGUGACACCGAAGGAUUUGCGUGCUCUGGCAGCCCAUCCACAGCCAGACUGUGAACGGACUGUGGACGGACUGUGGGGGGUAGGGGGGAGUGCCACGGUGGCGAGAUGUUAACUACCUCGCCUGGUAUACAGGAGGUCGUGGGUUCGAUCCCGACCCUGACGCCCGUAUAUUUGGAGUUUGCAUGUUCUCCCCGUGGUCGCGUGGAUUUUUCUCCGGGUCCUACCAAUUUCCCCCUCCACAUUUAGAAUCAACAUCACCACGCAUUCAUGGUUUUUUGGCUGCUGCUAUAGAAUUCCACGUGAUAAGCCACUUUGUUGAGUGAUCAUUUGUGGCCAGGUCGCUUUUGAAACAGAUCUAUAUAGCUCAGUGGGCCUGACCUGGUAAAAUUUAAAUAGUUUAGUUUAGGAUAUUUUUUGUUUGUUUUUAAACUCCACCCUGGCCUGUCCCCGGCGAGUCUUGAGUAUCUCUGCGAGUGCGAGCCACCAUCUCCGCGCAGUCCUCUCCGAUCUCUUGUGUCCACCUUCCCCUCGUCCAAUCGAUUUUACCAAACGAGGAGAUGUCGAGGAACCUCUCAUUGCUCUGUCCGGACCACAUCGCGCAGAGGAGACAUCUCUGCUGUACGAUGUCUACAUCAUCUCUAUCUAUUCCCAAUUUCUUGUUGAUGUCGAUGCUCUCUCGACUCUUCUCGAAAUUCAGAAUAUCUCCCGUAACACGGACAUUUCAGAGACUCAACUUUUCUCCCUCAUCUCUUCCUUCGAUCUAGAUUGACAACUCAUUUCUUUAGAACUGCCUUUUGUCUUCAGUUUGUUGUCCUUCACCCGCGCAUCUGAUGAGCACGGUUGUUUACGUACAGUGCGAAAGAAGUUCAACAUAAUACAUUAAAUCCUGCACUGCCCACGUGUCUGCAUUGUGCAAUGAAGUGGACGGCACAACGAGGUUCUAGGUCUCGGCCUCCCCAUCCACCUCCUCCACCGUGACAAUUGCAGCCUCCUGCAAUUGUCAGCUUGACGUAGGCGAUCGACCGAGGGAAAACACGUGCAUGAGUUUUUUCUGACGCCUCCUCUUUCAAACCCAUUCACCUCCACGAUGGUCGCAUUCCCUCUGAAUAUUCCACUUCUGUUUCCUCAGCAACGUCCGCCUGCCUCUGGACGGUGUUGGGGUCACAUUUUACAGGAGCCUCUUCAUUCGCCACGUUCGGUACUUUUCCCACGUUCCCCAUUCACAGACUGUCAGACGAUUAGUGAAACUUGUUGUCCGUCCCCCACGCCUCGGAUUAGCACGGUUGGGUACGUAUGGUUUGAAAGAAGUUUCAACGUACAUACUGUACUUGCAAUUGACUUUGACAUUGCGCAAGCCGCUUAGACACGUUUGCUUUACAUGUCUUUGCAAUAUCUUCCAGAAUGUCAAGUAAUUAGUAAUCAGUCUACUUUCCAAAAGUAUCCCUUCCCAACAAAAAGUCACCGCAAUUCACAAACAAACCGAUUGCCAUUUGUGGCAAUACAUCAUUGAUUGGCGGUGAGUUAAGUUUGGCAAAUAAGGUUUGCUAUGUUUUCAAAUGUCUAUUAUACAAUUCACAAUUCGUUUCCUGUUGGGGUAGAUCGUGCCUGUUAUAUAAUAUGUACAUUCUUUUCACAGAUCGGCUUGACAAAGAAAAUGUUACACGUUUCGCUUAGCCACCAGCUUCAAGGGUUUUACUUUAAAGAGCUUACUUUAUUCCAAGUGCAGCAGCAUUUUUGUAAGAAAAACCCAUUCCAGAAUUCAUUGCUCACAUCACCAGCUCAUGUGCAAAGUUGCUUUUUCCCAUUUGAAUUUUAACCCAGUUGGACAGAACAAAAGCCUGCAAUGGACGAUUAAAACACACACACACAAACCCAUUUUUAUCCACUUAAGCCGACUAAUUAACAAAUAAACGACAAAUCUUAAUUCACCCUAGAAAGCCUUACUGAGUCCCAAGAGGUUUGUGGGGUUUUUUUCUUCUUCUUUUCAGCAGGGCCUUUUGCAUUGGCGAUGCUUGGCCAAUUCCAUUUUAAUGAGGGUACUACUACCGCAGUGCUUUUCACUUGUGGUAACGACUCGCUGCACAAAUCCUCCACACACCAUAAAGCCAACGUAUUGUUACUACUACUACCACUGCCACUACGUAUAGACCGUCGGCAUGCUGGACUUGCCAAUCCAGAUGUCGACCGUUCGAUCACCCAGUUGCGGGUCUUUCCGCUAACAGCAGAGUCAGCAAGUGCUUGAAGGGUCCUCCACCUUUACCUUUUCAUGCAGGUGCCAUACAAGUGCCCUCGACGGUGCCAUGCGUUUACGGUGCACCAGGCUACCGGACGAGUCGUGCACUGUGUACCACACUGCUGUGUUGGUUUAUGUAACAAUGGUUAACAGUGGCGAAGCAAAAAAAAACACUUUAAAAAAACCAUACUGAUCGCUCGAAAGAGACAAGUAAUUGGGCAGGCUUAUAGCAUGCGUUAUUCCGCGUGAACAAGCGCUAAAAUUUCCCAAUUACCUUGUUAAUUUGAUUACAUUCAAUUCGAGGGACCAAUAUGUCAAAAUUGUUGUUACGUUUACACGUUCAUUGUGGAAACUUAAACGGCCAAAUUGACUUUUUUAUUCAAAGUUGUUUUUUUUAUGUGCCAAUUACUCAGUUGUGGAGUAAUUGGGUGAGCAAAAUGGCGAGUGGUGUAAUGGAAAACUAACUGCACGUUAGGAAAGACUGCUUUGCCACUUACACAACAAUCGCGCAUUGUUGUUGUGCAACAAUUGUCUAUGCACUGCUGUUUGAGCGCCGCGUUGGCGAGAUGUUAACUACCUCGCCUGGUAUGUAGGAGGCCGUGGUUUCGAUCCAGACCCUGACGCCUGCUGUAUAUUUGGAGUUUGCAUGUCUCUCUCCCCGUGGUCGCGUGGAUUUUUCUCCAGGUUCUUCAGUUUUUCCCUCCACAUUUAGAAACAUGCGCUUAGAGCAUUUGGCUGCUACAAAUUUCCACACGAUAGGCCACUUCGUUGAGCUAUCAUUUGCGGCCAGAUUGCUUCUGAAAAAGAGCCAUGUAGCUCAGUGGGCCUUAUCUGGGUAACAUUUUAAAAAGUAAAAGCAAAGACAAAGUGAGUUGAAACGACGGUCUCUAAGAGUGUCCACACCGACUGGUACAGUGGUCGGGGAAACUUGGCUCACCAUUGGCAGGUUGGUAGAUCGCAGGUCACCUCCGCCCAUCGUCACCGCAGCUUCAAUACGAUCAGCGUCACUCUGAAUGACUUCGAUAGUUGGUUGUCCCAACGGGUGUGGAAUUUUUACCAGUGGCUCACGGCUCCCAACUGGGACCAGCCCUCCUCCUCCCCAUCUCCUUCCCAUGCUCCUCCUCGUGUACUUACGCAGGCAGACACUUUGACACUGACUCAUCAAACUUGCAUCACCUAUUGGGCCCUCGGGGUGCUAUCGGAGUAAAUAUUAUGAUGUGACUAAACACGCUUUUGGAACUCCGGUUAAGGCACGGCUCAUGAAGUUGACACUGCAGAACUACUUCGGAGUCACUCCAGUAGGACUCUCUCAUCUAACGCUAAACAGCACUCUCUCUCUCUCUUCCAUGCUGUGUAAUGAGAGGCAUCUCGAUACAAUAAUAAUAUUGAGCCCCUGCAGCUGAACUGGUCUACGAUAAUUGAAUUGAAACAGAAAACAUAUUGUAAUAGAUCAAAUUGCCCUUUAGUUAUCCAGCCAUGAAUGCCUCACCGAGUGUCAAGGCCCGUUUUUUGGGAGGUUGCUAUCUCGGCAUGUUUGACCAGUGUCAUUAAUGAGAGUUUGGUGUCAUGCGGAGGAAACCGGAGAACCCGCAGAAAAUCCACCGCGUUUCUUGAGCGAGUGUGAGAAUCGGCACUUGCAAUUUGCUGGCUAUGUCUCGCCGCCCCCACACCCAGGGCACCUGGCAAGCCCUCGUGGCCACCAGUCCACGGACCAACGAGGCUCCAACCUGCUUAACUGAUGAGACCUGUCCAAGCCGCAGCGUCCUGUAUCGACGACGCAUCACCACACGGGCAGCAGAACUAGCGACGCAAAUACAUCACCAUUCUAAUCACCCCACCGACAUGUCCCAACCUUGCCAACUUGCUGUAUCUUAGCCACCUGAUUACACACACACAAUCAUGAAGAUAAAAGAUCACAAUGUAUUCUCACAGUCUGUAAAAAGCCAACUGGGCUAUAAAACGCCAAUCAACACCGGCACAGUCCAGAUAGCCGGUCGCGUGGCACCGCAUCAUGCCUGGCCGCCAUCGUGAUCACUCGCCAUGCUCUUUUUUAUUUAUUUGAGGCCGAGUCAACCUAUGGGAGAUCCAAGCCAGGCUCACAUUCCUCCCGCAGCUCAAGUUUGUAGAUCACAGCCAGAGGUCAGAGGCGGCCAAAAUCACGGAGCAAUGUUGGAACCACGACGCCACUACUCCCCUCCUCCCCCUGCCCUGUGCACACGCUACGCACACGCUACAUUUCCAAAUUACCUGCAGAAAUGUAACACGUACUGCAUAUCACAAUAACUCGACAAUGCACACAUUUGCCACUUUGUAGGGAACGCAGACAGUACAAUCACUUCACACAGCCCUGCUUACGUCCCCCACCACCAGAAAUCAUGACAUAUAGUGGUUUCCAGGGCUACCUGAAAACCCUUGAGGCACUGAACGAUUCUGUAAAGCCUCAGCGGUGUCUCUUCGUUUUAAGCAGCGGUCAGCAUUAUUUAUUCCUCUGCCCCCCCUCUCCCCCCCGUUUUGUUUGCUUGUUGGCGAUUUUCACGGCGUCAAACCACGCGUUCAAAAGCAGCCCAUUAGCCGUAAUGAGCAAAGAAAUAAGAAAGAAAAAAACAAAUCCAAACUCCUCCGGAGAAAAGCGAAAAGGGUAAUGCGUUGCAAAAUAGUUGCGUAGUCUCCAUGGUGCUCGGGACUGGCUUAAAUGAAGGGGCACGUCGACCUGCCCAUACACCAAAUCUACCUGGACACGCACCGACCACAACUGCUUUUUGUGUCUUAGUUUAAUUGUCCUUAAACCGCACCUUCGAUUAGUGCAGUUGGCUACGUACGGUGCGAAGGAAGUUCAACAUACGUACGUAUCUGCCUACCUACAUGCCUGUAUGCCUGACUGCUUUCGUAAAUACCAACCGGGGAUAGGUUUUGGACGGAACAAUUUAACAUUUUCAGAUUGUCCAACUAAACUUAGGGUCUUUUGUUCAGGCUUUCAUGAACUGAUUAUUGAAACCGUCUUCUUGCGAGCACAAGUGACGUCACCCCGUGAUACGUGACGACACUUUUGGUGAGGAAAAGCACAGGCACGACGCAAUGUAAGUGGGUUUCAGUUCUUGUGAUUGCCUACUUGAUGGAUCAAUCCGAAACGAAUCAUCCCAAAUGUUGUAUCUCGAUCAAUUUUCCGAUUCUUUUAGGAUUGAUCUGAAAAUUGAGAACGCAUUUCAACUACCUACCUUCGAUAUUCGGAAGACGCUGGGAGCUAUGCACUUUUAAAUCUAUAUUGAAAACUAAUUUCUUUAGAUCUGCUUUUUUUUGUUAAGUUUGUUAUGCGUCCCCCGCACCUCCGAUGACAGUGGUUGGCUACGUACGGUGCGAAAGAAGUUCAACGUACGUACCUACCUACCUGCCUGUUUGUCUAGCUGGUUGCACAACUGCCCACCAAUUUCCCAGUUUAUUUUUGUUUUGCUCACCCACCUACUCGAAGUAUGAUUCUGCGUCCGAGAAGAACACUUCAUUCUUAAGCCACAGCAAAGGCAUCAAAUUGCGUAUGCAAGAAUGGACGUUCCUCAGUUCGUGUGACCCCUUGCAGUCACUAGAGGCUGCUAAAUUCACAAAAAAAGGAAAAUAUAGAAUAUUUUUUUCAAUUAUUAAAUCGCGAUGAGUCACCAAAAACGCCAGGCAGGUGAAUCAUUGCUCCCCUCUUUUUACCUAUCUGCCGCUUCCAAAAUCGACCUACAUGCAUACAUGCGUAUCUUUACUGCUCACCAACCUAUCCGCCUACCGUGUCUUCUUUCCACUCACAUGCCUUGCCUCCUAGUCCAUGAGCCCAGACAAUAAAUAUCGCUCGUUGCUACCACCUGAAGUGGCACCAUUUUAGAUGUCCCAAUCUCAUUAUGUGGCCGAAAACAGUGAUGUGUGUGAUGACCCAUUUCGAAUGAGUGGGUUAUCAAACAUUUAACUUGUACUAACUGUAUUCAUACAUUGGAACUAUUCAAUAUUUGCCACCUCAGGUGUCACCAAUUUAUACUCUGGCCCAUAGACUCUGAGCAACACCGCUAUCAACACCCUUAUCGAAGCAACAUACCUUUCUACCGCACCUAUAUUAUUGUGUCACCUACCUUUCCCGUGUGGCCACAUAGCAUCCUACCAAUCAAACCCCCUUACAAUUCUCUAUAGCUACCUCUAGAUUAUGGUCACCUGCAUGCAUGCCUACCUAUCUAACCAGCACUCAGACUGACUUAUAGACCUACCUCUUUUCUGCCCUCCCACCUAGCUAUCUACCCGCCUCUCAUUGCUGCUCGUCAACAUAUCUAUUGACAGGGGAGUAAAGUGAGAUGAGAGGAGAGAAGUAGGAGAGAGAGCGUUGAGGGAGUAGAGUUAGGUGAGAGGGGCGACGUAGGAGAGUGUGUGUGGAGGGGAGUAGAGUGAGAUGAGAGGGGAGAGGUAGGAGAGAGUGUUGACAGAGUAGAGUGAGAUGGGAGGGGAAAGAUGAGCAGGGGCGAGUCCGUGGAGGAUCUUGAAGCCGGUGAGUGCGAUGUUCGAAAUUGAUCUGGGAUUGGAUCGUGAGCUGAAGGAGGGGUUGGAGUAUUGUGGUGAUGCGGUCUUGUUUGCCGAUGUGCAGGUUAGAAAUUGGGUGGCGGCGUUUGACUGAGGUUAUUGGAGUGGAGACAUCUCAGUCCAGUCACACUCGCACUGCCGGUUAAUCAAAGGGCAUGGGAAUCUCAUGACAGCGAGUGUACUGAAUGUGCAAGAUUCAAUUCACAAAUGUUCAACUUUGAUUUUUUUCAUAUUUACCUAGGAUAUCACCAGCACCAUCAUUACAAUGCAAAAUGUGUAUCAAACUACUGCAUCAUGAAUGCCAUUAUUAUUAUAGCUGUAAUAUGAAAUGUUGCAUUUAUUUUUCCCCUCAAAUUAUGAAUUGUAUUCAUGACACUCAAAUAUAAAGUUGGGCCUCAACAUCUCAGUCUCUGAAAAUAUGAAAUCUGAAAAUAACCCCAAAUAUCUACCCGUCAUCAUCGUCGUCUUCAAUGGAUAAUGCGAACAGGUGACAAUGUGCUGCCCCCACAACACAUCUUCAAAUAUAGUUCGAAGUCGACCUGGAUACCCACAAUGCAAAGGGGAUAGCAAUGGAUAGAGCUCGAGAACGGAUAUUACAUCAUAGCAGGAGCAGGCACGGCUCCGACUCCUCUCGGAUGGGGGUGUGGCAGUAGCGCUGUUGGGGUGCCGCGGUGGCGAGAUGUUAACUCCCUCGCCUAGUAUACAUGAGGUCUCGGGUUUGAUCCAGACCGCGAUGUCUGUAUAUUUGGAGUUUGCAUGUUCUCCCAGUGUCCGCGUGGAUUCUUCUCCGGUUUUUCCCUCCACAUUUAUCAAACAUGCUUCUCGCCUAUUUGGCUGCUUUAAGUUUCCACACGAUAAGCCACUUUGUUGAGCUAUCAUUCGUGGCCAGGUUGCUUCUGAAAAAGAGCUACAUAGCUCAGUGGGCCUUACCUGGUAAAAUAAAAAAGUAGUGUAUAGUUUUAGUCGUGUGUGUGGGGGGGGGGGGGGUCACCAUAACAAUGGUUCGCCGCUAAGGAGAGUGAACUUGGUUUGAGGGACCAAAGGGACAUGAGGUCGUGCAGGGCCUAACCCCAGCAGCCCCCUGGUGCCAGUCCAGGAUGGGAAGAUUCUUGGGAAGAGUUAGAUUAAAUGAGGCUGCAAAGAGAGAUUCAAAGGAGGGCGUCUCAGAGCAGAGCUGCCCCUCGCUUUCCUGUGUCAUUUGAAGAGCAACCGACGGCAAACGUUUUCACUGCACGUUGGGUUCGUUCGUCUCUUCAUUUAGUCGAUGGCACCCGCAGCUGCUUGGUGCGUAGCGUCCACACCUCUCUGCGUAAGUGCGGUCAAUGUGCAGCGCCGGGUUACGUGACGAGCAGGUUGCGCUUCACGUUCACGAGAGCUGUUCGAGGCAACGACGGAGGAGAAGAGAUGUCCCGUUGUACUGGUGAAGGUCAAACAAACGCAGCGUGGAUGAGAUGGUGAUCGAGAGCUCGAAAUCGGAUGUGGAAUUAGGGGGAAUACAGCGCCUGAAAGCAACGGCAGUGACAGCGGUGAUAGCAAGAGAGACAAAGGCGGUAUCAGAUCGACAGUGAGUGGCUGUAUUAACAGACGGCGAUAGUAGCAGUGGCAAAAGGACGAGGUGACAGAUCAGCAGCAAGAGUGAAUGUCUGUAGAGUGUAUGCAGAUGCGUGUGUGCGUGUGUGUACAAAUGAAUUACGUGGAUAGCUUCACGCUGGAUUUUUUUUUGCUAAUUUCUGGAUUUCGAGGGAACUCUAAGUGAGUGAUGAUGAUGAUGAGGAAGACAAUGAUGAGAAUGAUGAUGAUCGAUCACGUUGGGCGGUGACAUUCUUCACACGACAGUAGAUAGAGAAUGACCGGUGAUCACGAGGGUGACCGGGAAGAGUGCAGUGUUUUUUUUCAUUUAGCCUUUGUAAAUGCGCUCACAACCAUGUGUUCUGGAUGGUUUGCUCGUUUGGAACAACUGAUGCAUUUGGAAGAGUGUCAAAUUUAGCUUUUGUGAUUGUUGAUGUUAACAACCCCCCCACCCCACCAAUCUAAGACUACUCUAUUAACAUCAUCGUUGGUCAUGAAUACAAUCAUCGCCGUGUGAAAUCUAUGAAUCUAUAUAAUCCAUCCGGCCUUUGAUAACACAAUGGUUGCGUGACCACAACGGCAAUAUAUAUAUAAAGACCAUAUUCUUGGUUCUUUUCGGUAAAGUCACGUGAAUAGAAAACCAUCUUAAAAGCAGCACAUCUGUACAAAACAAUAUCCUAUUCUCUGUUGUGUUCAGUACAUGUGCACUAUAGUGUGUAUGUAGUGACAUGUGUGUACGUGUGCGCAUGUGUGUCCGUGAGUCCCGAAAUGUACGUUCAGUAUUGGCCUCUUUCACCACAUUGUGUUUAAUUCAUUCACAGCUUGAAGUUCAAGUUUCGACCCAGUAGCCAUGCCGACGUUGGGUCAACGUUAGUACGCGGUUGCAACCGUUCGACCAACGUUCUAUGUUUACUGGGAAGUUGAUUUUGUUCAACCGGGUGAGAAAAUCAAGAGGCCGUUUGCGAGAGUAACCUGGGCCAUGAAUGUGCCAGUGGUGGCGGGAGGCGCUCAAUGCUUUGUAUAAUCUCAAUUGAGUAGUUUGAGGGGUUAAUUUUUUUUUAAUGUGGCAAAAAUAGACCACUCAUGCGAAUGCCAUCGGUGGAUCUUCAACGUCCGCUGUGCAGCAGAUGAAACGAAAUAUCAUUUUUAUUCGAGUCAUUUUAGUUCAUCUAAGUUGUCUAAUGCAUGUAUUAAUUAUUAUCAUGGCGGCCAUUGUAUUGGAGCUGUGCACAUUCUGCAACAAUCGGUGGGCCCUGUCACAGCGCGGCGACACACGGAGAACA